GCUUACGGCAGGGUUUCGGUGUCACCGAGAGUUCCCGGAGCUCUGUGACAGCCUCACACUGAGUCCAGGCAAAGCGUAACAAGCAGCAUCUCAAGUUACCUAAUCACAUGGCGGCAACACCCCAGCCCAAGGCCGCACGGGGCCUUGCCGUGGCGCUCCAUCUGAGGAGCUCACGGGGCAUAAAGAAAACCCUUUCUGUAUUUGGGAAAUACUAUUACCUGGGUUUGACCGAGAGAGGUACCGAGACGUGAAGUGACCUGCUUUAAGACCACAAGUAAGAAGGGGUUGGGCUGAGCGUGCUGCCCAGGCAGCUGAGUGGAGCUCCCUGGCUGGGAGAUGACGCACAGAAAGCAUCUUACACAGAGCCUGCCCUGGCCAGGCCCUGGGUGGACUUGCUGGGACACUGAACUCGAUAACAAAGGCCAAGGCAGAUGAAAUUUUAAAGCAUCAGCCUGAGGAACCAUGUGCAGAGAACUGCCUCAUCCUUGAGAAAGCAGAAUGCAGGACACAGGAUGCAGAGACGGAGCAUCAGGACGCCAGAACACAGAGUGCUGAUGACGCCACCGUACAUUAGCCGGAGAGCAAAUGUCACGUGGGGAGGCCAGGAAAUGGAUCAAGAGGCGCUCAGUGCAUCAGCCCCAGAAUGAAGAUGGAAAUGUAUCACCCCCUCGAGCUCGGAGCCAGGCUUAGCCUACUCUACCGUCCUUCCAUGAACAAACAACAACCUCACAGCAUUACAAAAACGAUGGACACCAGGAGAGCUCCAAUCAGGUCACCUCUUGGUGCAGAGAAAGUUUCUGUCUUUGAAACUGGAAUCGAGAGACGAACCUGGAAGAGAGCAGCAAGGAUUUGGACCGUGGCCUGGAGACACAAUUUGCAGCUGUCUUUCCUGUACCCUGAGGCUGGUACAGCAGGUGCUGUGAAAUCUGGCUGACAGGUCAACUUCAAGGUGAUCCGUUUGCCGAGGCUUCUCUCUGUUCAACUAAUCUCCCAUCACACCUCUGGUGCCUGGUAAAGGUAAAUAAUUAUGACUAAGUGCAUAAAGAAGGGGGGUCUUUGCACACCUGUCAUUAUUACCUGGCAAGUCUCUGCGGAACCUGGGAGUUUCCCAGAGGGCUGGGGGCGGGCGCGGCGGGGGGCAUUUCGGCAGAGGAUAAAUCAGGGUGGGUCCUUCCAGGCAACAUCUGGCUGGAGGAAACAAAAUUCAAACAAACACUGGAUGCCUGUUUUGUGGCAUGGAUGGAAGUCUCAGAGUCAAAGUUCUCAGGCCCCUAAGCUGUGAUGAACCUGGCCGAGAUGCUCACUUACAUCUGUAAGUGUCUCAAAGUAAACAAAGUAUCAUUCCCUUCAAGCUGCACUGUCCCACAGAAAUAUCAUGGGAGCCACAGGUGUCAUUUUUAAUUUCCAGUAGCCACGUUUAAAAAAAGAAACAGGUAAGAUUCACUGUAAUAACUCAA